rnacentral:rRNA from 1 species
GACGAACGCUGGCGGCGUGCCUAAUACAUGCAAGUCGAGCGGACCAAAGGGAGCUUGCUCCUGGAGGUUAGCGGCGAACGGGUGAGUAACACGUGGGCAACCUGCCUGUAAGACUGGGAUAACAUCGAGAAAUCGGUGCUAAUACCGGAUAAUAAAAAGAACUGCAUGGUUCUUUUUUGAAAGAUGGUUUCGGCUAUCACUUACAGAUGGGCCCGCGGCGCAUUAGCUAGUUGGUGAGGUAACGGCUCACCAAGGCAACGAUGCGUAGCCGACCUGAGAGGGUGAUCGGCCACACUGGGACUGAGACACGG